AUGUCCCCCAUUCCCAUAUCCCUGUAUCCAUAUCCCUGUAUCCAUGUCUCCUGUUCCCGUAUCCCUGUAUCCGUGUCCCCCGUAUCCAUAUCCCUGUAUCCAUGUCCCCCGUUCCCAUAUCCCUGUAUCCAUGUCCCCUGUUCCCAUAUUCCUGUAUCCAUGUCUCCUGUUCCCGUAUCCCUGUAUCCAUGUCCGCUGUUCCCAUAUCCCUGUAUCCAUGUCCCAUGUUCCUGUAUCCCUGUAUCCAUGUCCCCUGUUCCCAUAUCCCUGUAUCCAUGUUCCCUGUUCCCAUAUCCCUGUAUCUGUGUCCCCUGUUCCCAUAUCCCUGUAUCCAUGUCCCAUGUUCCCGUAUCCCUGUAUCCAUGUCCCCUGUUCCCAUAUCCCUGUAUCCAUGUCCCAUGUUCCUGUAUCCCUGUAUCCAUGUUCCCUGUUCCCAUAUCCCUGUAUCCAUGUCCCCUGUUCCCAUAUCCCUGUAUCCAUGUUCCCUGUUCCCAUAUUUCUGUAUCCAUGUUCCCUGUUCCCAUAUUCCUGUAUCCAUGUUCCCUGUUCCCAUAUUUCUGUAUCCAUGUCCCAUGUUCCUGUAUCCCUGUAUCCCUGCCCUGUAUUCCCAUAUCCCUGUAUCCAUGUCCCCCGUUGGAGUUGCAGCUCCCAUGCUCCCCAUCAGCUCCAUCCCUGCAGGGCCUGGCUCUGCCAUUCCCAGCACUGGGAAUGCUGCUUCUCCACCUGGAUCCUGGCUCAGGAUGUUCCUGGGAUCACCGGGAUGAGCGGGGGGGGGGGGAAUGCUGCUCCCCCAUUGGGCUGCUUCAGCUCCUGGAUCCUCUCCGGAGCUCCCGGUUCCGUGCUGGGCACGCCCAGGGAAUGGGCCGGGAUACCGGGAAUGGGCCGGGAUACCGGGAAUGGGCCCCGGCUGCUCUGCAGCGCAUCCAUGGAUGGACAUGGGGGGGAUGUGGGAUAUGGGGGCAGCUCUUGGAUGAGGCAGGAGCUGCGGCACGGCCGAUUGUCUGCAAGGGGGGGGCAGUGAUCUCCUGCCUGUCCCUGCCUGCUCCUGCCCGUCCCGGCGCUCACCUCAUAGAGGGCCGCAGGAUGGGGCCCCGUUCCCUGCCCCCCCCCGGUAUCGGCUCCUCCGCCUCCCCCUCCAUCACCUCCCCGUUGGCGUCCCCGGGGGCCGAUGGGGCCCGAACCGGGGCCGACCCCUUGGGUACCCCCCCCCCCCGGGGCCGGUCCCGGUCCCGCACAUCCCGGCCCUGGGGCGGGUUCGCUGCGGCCCCGCCUCCCCCGUAA
rnacentral:lncRNA from 1 species